ACCGCCUCUGUAGCAUAAAACAAAACUGAACACCGCUUCUUUCAAUCGCCCCCAAUCAUCACCGCCUUGCGAUUCCUCCGUGCUCCGAUUCCGAUUCCGCCGUGCUCCGAUUCCGAUUCGGAACCAAAUCAGAGACGAACCAGCUAUAUGCAUGCCUUGAGGCUGCAGUUGAUUCUUCAAGCUACUUGACAAAACUUGAAUCACUUCAUCAGGAGUCCAAUGUUAUGCCAAACAGUUAUCUUCCUAUUGAAGUUACAGAUCUCAAAAAAGUUGACCUUUUCCAAUAAUAUCAAUGGAGACCCUUCUCAGUGGAUUUGGGUAACAAAAGAGAUGGUUCCAGAUAAUUUGGAGGAAGUGUGUGGAAUUGACAAUGAAAAUUAUGUUAUAAUUAGUGAUGAGAAUGUGGUUGAUGGGAUUGCUGAAUUCAUAGCCAAAUUAUUUUCAGGCAGCUAUACGAGCAAAGUAUCGAUGGCUGGAUGUCAAAGGUUUCGAAUGGUUUUUCUAUGCACAGAUCCAGGAUUUGGCACAAAUUUUGUGGUCAUUAUGAAAAUUUAACAAUUUAUGAAGAAAAUUUAUUGUUGUAAUGCUUCUAAAUUGUUGAAUGAGACUGUUUUAUAUUUUUAUGUAUGUUUAUAUUUAGCUGUUA